UGGCCUGGGGAAGUGAGGCUCAGCGUAGAGGCUGUACCCACAGGCACAUGACGGUCUGCACCCAGGCCAGGGCUCAGUGAGGAGCCGGAGUGUCCCGGCCUGCCUGGACUCCAGCCGGGACCUCCCACAUGAGGCUCAUUCAUCUAUGCCCAGGAUUCUCAAAGAACCCCGGCCCCAGCCUGCUCUCUGUCAUGUGCUGAGCCCCAAGCUUACCCAUGCCUCCUGCCGUGGGGACCAGAGAAUGAGAAGACCACCAGGGAGACCCGCCCUGGAGACCAUGGUGUGCUGCUGACUCACGAGAAUGACAUCACCAAGUGUGCCCUCUGUCCUGUCACUUGGAGCUCCUGGAAGCACAGAAUGUCCCUCAGCCUGGACACUGCCCCUGGCCUGGGGAGGUAGAUGCUCCCCACCUCCCCUCCUGCCCUAGUGCAGAGGAAAGAAGAUCAAAUCUGGAGUCAGCAGACAUAGGAGUCUAAUCCCUGGUUCUGAUAUAUCUAGGCAGUCAUUGCCUUAGCCACACUCAGCCUUAAUCUCCUGAUCUGCAAAAUGGGGAGAACCACACUAACUUUGCAGUUUGCGGUGAGAGUCAAGGAAACCCACGUGAGAAGUGUCUGGCACUGUGCCUCGCAUGUAGUAAGUACUCACUAAAUACUCGUUUACAGUUUUUUUCCCCUCCCUGUCUUAACCUUUUUUUCUCCAGUAAGUGACUGGGGACAGGAGUCCACUCUAAGAACCUCUGCCUGCCCUCAGAACUCCGUGGCCAGUGAGGGCUGCAUGACCCCUUUGUGCUGGGAAGGUGCAUCUCAGGACACUGACCUGCCUGUGCCCAGGCUCAUGGUGUGGGCAGAGAAACUGUGGGUGAGACCUUUGUGAAAAUGGAAACCCAGAUGACCGGGAAGGGGAGGGGCCCCAGGAGGAGGGAGAACCAAAGGUCCUUGCUGUCUGUUAUUCCACCUGUUUGUUUUCCCCUAAUCCCCAGCCCACAGGGAGCUGCCACAUUUCCCCUGACUCCCCCAGCGGGCCCAGCUCAGGGGCAGAGGCCGAGCAACACAAGCUGAUCAGGCCACCAUCACUGUUGGCUUCUGUGCCCAGGGGGUCCCUGCAGCCACCAUCAGGAAAGCUCCCACCCUGGGGACAGUCUCUCCUGCCUCCUGUUCUUCCUGGGGUCAAAGACGUGCUCCUGCUCAAGGGUGAGCAGGUGCAUGGGCUGGUGCCACCAGCUGGUACAGUGGCUCCCUUCUGCUCCCAUGAGGGGCCUGGGAGAUAUUUCAGGGCUCUGUCCUCAGCCAAGCGUGGACUCAGCCAAACACUUGGGCAGGAGGGAUGGUAUCUUGUUGCCUUCAGGGCUUGGCUGAGCCCAGGGUCGAGAGCAUUUUCAGAUAGAUGCCUGCUAACACACCAAACACGUCACUCCUUAACAAGAUCUCCCUUGUGCCAGGGCUUGAGCUGAGCUCCAGGGAGUGAGAGAAAGGGGACCUAACAGACUUGUGGGAGACGAGCGUGAAGACAAAGCAAUGACCCCAGAUAGGCCAGUCGCAAAUGCCAGGAAAGAUCCACGGACCCUGGAGUUUCACCUGGACCUUGAGAAACAGAAUUUGAAUAUUGUGGAGAUUAACAAAACAAAACACCACAGGAGCAAAGGUCCUGAGUGAAGCUGGCCCUUUGGGGCUGGUGUAUCUGGUCAGCUGGUAGGCAUGGAGGGCCCACCCCACGGGGAGAAGCCAGGCAGAGAAAGAAGGCUGGAGGCGGCCGGAAAAGACGGAAAAGACACAGGUGUCAGGCGACGUUUGAAUUGAUUUUCAGCACUAGGGAGCCAUCUCUGAUCAGGGAGUGGAGUGAGCAGAAAUGCCUUCUGGAGGAGGCCUUGAAACCACCUUUGCAAAAAUGGUAUCAGUGAGAAAAUUAUGACAGUGAAAGAGAUCUCAGCUAACCUACCCCCAAUCUUUCCUUUCCCUUCCUUAUUCCUGGGUAUUGGGCCGAGCUAACUUUGAAGACAUUUAGGCUGUAGUUUAAAUGGUAACAGGCCUUGUCCCAAAACGCAGCUGCUUUUGUAAAGCUAAUGAGAGGCCAUCAGGCCUGGGGGAGUAGAGGGCCCUGACUCCUGCUAAGGCGCAGACAUAAAAGACUGUCAGCCACGAUGCCAGAGGUCAGAAGACAGGCAACUUCCCUAAUUACUCCUGCAAAUAAUGCCAAUGUUGUGAACCUAAGGUCGGCCUUCCGAGAUACCUUUUCAGGCCUUUUGCAUGUCUGACACCCAUGGCUCCACCUGGACCCGCCAACCUUGCCCCUGUGGCCCCACCCAGAAGUGACUCAGCACCCAGGAGGACAGCUUCGACCCCCUAAGAUUUCAUCUCUGCCAACAGCAAGCACCUGUUACCUGGCCACCCCCAACUCUUCCCCCAAACUGCCUUUGAAAAACCCCUAACCUACAAGCUUUGAAGAUAAUUUCAGUACUAACUCUGUCUCCCACAUGGCACGGCGGGCCUUGGGUCUGUUCAAUUCUUUCUUUACUGCAAUUCCACGACCUUUCUUCAUGCAGUGGGCAGGAAGAACUCCUCCAGUGAUUACAGCCUGGGGUGCAGGGUCUGGAUGGACGGAGCAGCACCUGGAGAGGGCCGUUAACCCUCUGUUGUCCAUGUGUGGCUAGGCGAGGGCUGCAGCCAGACCCAUGGCCUUAUCUGCCUGCAGGGCCCGCCUGAGCCCUCAGUGACAGACACAGGUUUCUAAGCCAACCCAGAGGGGAUGCAGAGCCCUCCCUUUGGAGAGUUGAGAUCCUGCUGAACCUAGGAAAGUACUGAAACACCAGCAGAGAGCUCACAGAGCAGCCAUGGCCAGGGCUCAGGCACUGCCUGCGGCCCACCCUGGAGCUCCCACGCCCACCUGUCUCAUCUUUCCAGAACUGGCCCAUCUCUGCAGAGUUGGCAGCAGGUCCUCCUGCCAGCUGAGAGCCAGCUCCAGGACUCCUUGGCUUUUUCCAGGCAGAGCCCAAGGCCCAGGUGCCAAACCCGUGUCCCAGCUCUUCUUGGCAGGCCUGGCCCUUGUUUGUCUUUGGGUUUUUCAACUUUUUAUUUUGGAAUCAUUACAGACAAGUUGCAACGAUAGUACAGAGAGUUCGUUCCCAUGUACCCUCACCCAGCUUCCGCUAGUGUUAACGUCUUACAUAACCGUGGUACACUUGUCAAAGCAAAGAAAUUAACAUUGGAACAAUACUAUUAAUUGAACUACAGACUUUAUUUGGAUUUUAGAGUUUUUCCUUAAGGGACAUUACAGUGUCAUUUUUCUUGCCUAGGCCCAAUCCCGGUUGCCACGUUGCAUUUAGUUGUCACGUCCUUUGGUCUCCUUUCACCUGGGACCACUUCUCAGGGUUUCCUUGCUUCUUAUGACCUUGACAAUUUUUUUUAAAUUAUGGUAAAAUAGAUACGUAACAUAUUGCUAUUUUAACCAUCUUUAAGUGUAUAAUUAAGUGGCAGUAAUUGCAUUCACAAUGUUGUGAAACCAUCAUCACUAUUUCCAAAACAGAAACUCUGCCCCUUAACCAGUAACUCUCCACUCCCCUCCUCCCAGGUACCUUUUUUUUUUUUCUUUUGCGACAGAGUCUUGCUCUGUUGCCCAGGCUGCAAUGAUCUUGGCUCACUGCAACCUCCACUUCCCAGGUUCAAGCAAUUCUCCUGCCUCAGCCUCCCGAGUAGCUGGGAUUACAGGUGCCUGCCAACAUGCCCAGCCAGUUGUUUGUAUUUUUAGUAGAGACGGGGUUUUGCCAUGUUGGCCAGGCUGGUCUCGAACUCCUGACCUCAGGUGAGCCACCCACCUCGGCCUCCCAAAGUGCUGGGAUUAUAGGCGUGAGCCACCGCACCUGGCCCCAGGUACCUCUUAAGAGGCUUAGAGGAGCCCCUACCACAGCCUCAUGCCCAAGAAAGAGGUCUUGUUGUUUCUGGCCAGAAUUGGUCCUUCCAGACCCUAAAGCUACACAAAGAAGCCUGCAGGAGUCGCUCCCUUCCUUAUGGUGUCCAUGGUGGGCACGAAUCCUUGAUCCUUAGCAAAAUGCAUACUCACUAAGGGUAGAGAGAAGUAGAAAGUCCCCAUCCUGCCCCCUUCUCCUGUGUUGGCUUUUGUUUGUUUGUGUUUGUUUGUUUGUUUUCUGAGAUAGGCGCUUGCUCUGUCAGGGCUGGAAUGCAGUGGUGCAAUCACGGCUCACUGUAGCCUUGACCAACCCCCCACCCGGGCUCAAGUGAUCCUUGGGCCUCAGCCUCCUGAGUAGCUUACGCACCACCACACUCAGCUAAUUUUUAAUUUUUUUUUUGUAGAGACUUGGUGUCCCUGUGUUGCCCAGGGUGGUCCUGUACUGGCUUUUUAACAAAGGCUGAGACACCUUAGACAUAGCUACUGACAGCUCCCUGGCUGAAGUCCGAACACCCAGCACUAGCAUUUCUCUUUGUGGGGUCAAUGUGGGGUUCUCAGAGGAGUCUACCCAGGCAGAGCACCCUAGAUAGAGGUGCCCACUGCCCACCGGCCCCAGCUGUUAUCACCAUCGUGGUAGUCAUGCAGACGAGAGUAUCACUCUGCAUAACUGCAGUCCCAAAUUGGGGAUGCCAUCCUCAACAGGCUGUCUCCAAGGGCACACUGGACACAGGAUGGCCUCAAAGCCAGGGGUGUGAGACCAGAGCCCGCACCAUGCGGGCCUCUGCCACCUUGUAACAGGCAUGGGACAGCAAUGUGCCUGGCUUCCUGCCCCCAGGGCCACAGCCUUCUGGCCACAAUCAGCAGACUCAGCCCUGCCACAGAUCCGGGCACUCAGGACCCGGGCGCCCGUUGCCAGACUCCUGUCAUCGGUCUCCAGCCACCUGUCCAGACACUCGUGCACCCCGAUGGAACGUACUUGCUGCUUCCUCCCCUUUCCCUUACAAAAUAUCCUUCUAUAACUCUUCAUGGCACCAAACCUUUUACCAGUAUAUGCAGAGCCUGUUUGUCUCCGAAUCCAGUUUAGCUUUCCCAGUACAGUGACCAACUCAUCUCAGUUUACUCAGGACUUCCCUGGUUUUCACACGGAAAGUCCUGUGUCCUGGGCAGCCCCUCAGUCCCAGGAAACCAGGAUGGUUGCUCACCCUAUUUCCCAGCCUCUGCACCUACCAAUCCCCACCGGGAAAGCCCAGAUUAUUCACACCUCCACGUAGCCAUCUCUCCUGACCUCCAGCCUUCACAAAUGCUGUUCCCUCCACCUGAAUGCCCUUCCUCAUCUUUGACUAUCAAAAGCCAAUGCAAUGUUCAAGUCCAGCUCCUCUGUGAGGGCUUCCUGGUCCCCACCCUGGAGUCAGAGCUCCCUCCUCCAUCCCCCUGGGGCUCACUUUGAAGCUCCAAAGGGAAGGGCCUCAGGGCUGGGGCAAGGCAUGGAUCCCCCUGAGUGUGCAAAGCGUCAGAAUCAGUAACUGGCACAGCUCCAGCUGCCUCCCUCUCCUCACCCAGUAGUGAGCAACACGAGGGCAGAGACGGCUGGUUUUACCCCCUGUUACACAUCAGGUGCUCAUUAAUACUGUAUUCCCAACCUCCUCCAGCUGUGUUUGUCGGCCCCUCGGGCCUCAUGUUGUUGCUCUGGCACCCCAGGGGCUCAGGUGGAGCCACGGCCAGGACAGGCCUCACCAUUGGCAAGGGCACUCAAGCUCCCAGGUGGACUCCCAACCUAUCCAGGCACUACAGCCAAGGGUAAGAGCCCUGGACUGGGGCCGACCUGCUUCCAAUGACCCACCGUCCAACCUCGCCUUACCUUAUCCGUAGGAGCCAUUUGACAAGCUCUUGUUGAACAAAUGCUACACAUGAACACAUGGGCUGUGUCCUGAAGCUGGAUGUGCAGUCUUGAAGGAAUCCUACGCUUCAUGAAUGAGGAUUUGACAUCUGGCAGAGGUCUUUAUGAACACAUUUAUGAUCAUCCUUCAAAGCAACCACAUGAAAUGGGCCAGGGGCUUGUUCUCUUUUAGCAGACAGACGGGUUGAGUCACCACAAGAUGCUGUUAUGGUUUAAAUGUGUGGAGCUAUAUAUAUACAUACACACAUACACAUGUAUAUAUCAAUCAAGCUAUACUUAUCCCCAAUAACAGAGAGGAAAAAUAUAUUAUUAGAAUAAGAGCCGCAUAUUUUGGAAAACUUA